rnacentral:rRNA from 1 species
AUGGCGACCGGCGCACGGGUGAGUAACACGUAUCCAACCUGCCGAUGACUCGGGGAUAGCCUUUCGAAAGAAAGAUUAAUACCCGAUGGCAUAGUUCUUCCGCAUGGUAGAACUAUUAAAGAAUUUCGGUCAUCGAUGGGGAUGCGUUCCAUUAGGUAGUAGGCGGGGUAACGGCCCACCUAGUCUUCGAUGGAUAGGGGUUCUGAGAGGAAGGUCCCCCACAUUGGAACUGAGACACGGUCCAA